rnacentral:rRNA from 1 species
UACGUAGGUGGCAAGCGUUGUCCGGAUUUAUUGGGCGUAAAGCGCGCGCAGGCGGCUUGAUAAGUUUCAGGUGAAAUCUCCCGGCUCAACCGGGGGGGUGCCUGGAAAACUAUCAGGCUUGAGUCAUGGAGAGGGAUGUGGAAUUCCCGGUGUAGUGGUGAAAUGCGUAGAUAUCGGGAGGAACACCAGUGGCGAAGGCGGCAUCCUGGCCAUGUACUGACGCUCAGGGGCGAAAGCGUGGGGAGCAAACCGG